rnacentral:rRNA from 1 species
AACGAACGCUGGCGGCAUGCCUAACACAUGCAAGUCGAACGAGACCUUCGGGUCUAGUGGCGCACGGGUGCGUAACGCGUGGGAACCUGCCCUUAGGUUCGUAAUAACUCCCCGAAAGGGGUGCUAAUACCGGAUAAUGUCUUCGGACCAAAGAUUUAUCGCCUUUGGAUGGGCCCGCGUUGGAUUUGCUAGUUGGUAGGGUAAAAGCCUACCAAGGCGACGAUCCAUAGCUGGUCUGAGAGGAUGAUCAGCCACACUGGGACUGAGACACGGCCCAGACUCCUACGGGAGGCAGCAGUGGGGAAUAUUGGACAAUGGGCGAAAGCCUGAUCCAGCAAUGCCGCGUGAGUGAUGAAGGCCUUAGGGUUGUAAAGCUCUUUUACCCGGGAUGAUAAUGACAGUACCGGGAGAAUAAGCUCCGGCUAACUCCGUG